rnacentral:rRNA from 1 species
AUUGAACGCUGGCGGCAUGCCUUACACAUGCAAGUCGAACGGCAGCACGGGAGCAAUCCUGGUGGCGAGUGGCAAACGGGUGAGUAAUGUAUCGGAACGUGCCCAGUCGUGGGGGAUAGCGCAGCGAAAGCUGUGCUAAUACCGCAUACGAUCUAUGGAUGAAAGCGGGGGAUCGCAAGACCUCGCGCGAUUGGAGCGGCCGAUAUCAGAUUAGCUAGUUGGUGGGGUAAAAGCUUACCAAGGCGACGAUCUGUAGCUGGUCUGAGAGGACGACCAGCCACACUGGAACUGAGACACGGUCCAGACUCCUACGGGAGGCAGCAGUGGGGAAUUUUGGACAAUGGGCGCAAGCCUGAUCCAGCAAUGCCGCGUGCAGGAUGAAGGCCUUCGGGUUGUAAACUGCUUUUGUACGGAGCGAAAAGGCUCUCUCUAAUACGGGGGGCUCAUGACGGUACCGUAAGAAUAAGCACCGGCUAACUACGUGCCAGCAGCCGCAGUAA